rnacentral:rRNA from 1 species
ACCCGCACAAGCAGCGGAGCGUGUGGUUUAAUUCGUUGCUACACGAAGGACCUUACCUGGGUUUGACAUAUAGGUUGUAGGGAACUGAAAAGGGACCGACCCUUCGGGGAGCCUAUACAGGUGUUGCAUGGCUGUCGUCAGCUCGUGUCGUGAGAUGUUCGGUUAAGUCCGCUAACGAGCGCAACCCUCGUCGUAUGUUAUAUGUGUCAUACGAGACUGCCGGUAAAAGCCGGAGGAAGGUGAGGAUGAUGUCAAGUCAGCAUGACCUUUAUAUCCAGGGCUACACACACGCUACAAUGGUCUGUACAAUGGGUAGCCAAGCCGCGAGGCGGAGCCAAUCCUGAAAGCAGGCCUCAGUUCAGAUCGCAGUCUGCAACUCGACUGCAUGAAGCCGGAGUUGCUAGUAACCGCAGGUCAGCAAUACUGCGGUGAAUACGUUCCCGGGCCUU